ensembl:snRNA U6 U6 spliceosomal RNA
CAGCUUCAGCAGCACAUAUACUAAAAUUGGAACGAUACAGAGAAAAUUUGCAUGGCCCCUGCGCAAAUAUUGAUUGUAUUUGCUGGGUUGGUUUCCAUUCUG